CGCAAGACGAUGUAUAGGAGCUGACGCCUGCCCGGUGCUGGAAGGUUAAGGGGAUCUGUUAGAGCAAUCGAAGCAGUGAACUUAAGCCCCAGUAAACGGCGGCCGUAACUAUAACGGUCCUAAGGUAGCGAAAUUCCUUGUCGGGUAAGUUCCGACCCGCACGAAAGGCGUAACGAUUUGGGCACUGUCUCAACAACAGACUCGGUGAAAUUGUAAUUCCGGUGAAGAUGCCGGAUACCUGCGACAGGACGGAAAGACCCCAUGGAGCUUUACUGUAGCUUGACAUUGGGUCUUGGUACUACAUGUACAGGAUAGGUGGGAGGCUUUGAAACCAGGACGCCAGUUUUGGCGGAGCCAUCCUUGGGAUACCACCCUUGUAGUACUGGGACUCUAACCAUAGGCCAUGAAUCUGGUCUUGGGACACUGUCAGGUGGGCAGUUUGACUGGGGCGGUCGCCUCCCAAAAGGUAACGGAGGCGCUCAAAGGUUCUCUCAGUACGGUCGGAAAUCGUACGUAGAGUGUAAAGGCAAAAGAGAGCUUGAUUGCAAGACAUACAGGUCGAGCAAGGAUGAAAAUCGGACUUAGUGAUCCGGUGGUUCUGCGUGGAAGGGCCAUCGCUCAACGGAUAAAAGCUACCCUGGGGAUAACAGGCUUAUCUCCCCCAAGAGUCCACAUCGACGGGGAGGUUUGGCACCUCGAUGUCGGCUCAUCACAUCCUGGGGCUGUAGUAGGUCCCAAGGGUUGGGCUGUUCGCCCAUUAAAGUGGUACGCGAGCUGGGUUCAGAACGUCGUGAGACAGUUCGGUCCCUAUCCGUCGCAGGCGUAGGAAAUUUGAGAAGACCUGUCCUUAGUACGAGAGGACCGGGAUGGACG
rnacentral:rRNA from 1 species